rnacentral:rRNA from 1 species
AUUGAACGCUGGCGGCAUGCCUUACACAUGCAAGUCGAACGGUAACGGGCCUUCGGGUGCCGACGAGUGGCGAACGGGUGAGUAAUACAUCGGAACGUGCCCGAUCGUGGGGGAUAACGAGGCGAAAGCUUUGCUAAUACCGCAUACGAUCUACGGAUGAAAGCAGGGGACCGCAAGGCCUUGCGCGGACGGAGCGGCCGAUGGCAGAUUAGGCAGUUGAUGGGAUAAAAGCUUACCAAGCCGACGAUCUGUAGCUGGUCUGAGAGGAUGAUCAGCCACACUGGGACUGAGACACGGCCCAGACUCCUACGGGAGGCAGCAGUGGGGAAUUUUGGACAAUGGGCGCAAGCCUGAUCCAGCCAUGCCGCGUGCAGGAUGAAGGCCUUCGGGUUGUAAACUGCUUUUGUACGGAACGAAAAGCCUUCUUUUAAUACAGGAGGGUCAUGACGGUACCGUAAGAAUAAGCACCGGCUAACUACGUG